UCAUGAACAGGCGCCGAUGAAACCUCCGUCUCAUCGUGCCAGCCGCCACUUCGGAAGCACGUUGACAUCGUUUCUUUCCGGCAAAACGCUUUGACCUACACGUCUGGACGUGUGACAACGAUUCAUAGUGAACUCAAACUGACCAUCUAUCAGCUGUCCUUGUGAGCAGAGUUGAAAGACUGCGGAACACUUGAACCCGAUGACAUUUCAGACUGAAAUGAAAGCACGCGUCUCGUCCGGUGUGGGUGUCGCUGUUGCAGCAGUGCUGAUUGUCUUUGUUCAAGGUGCUCGCAGCAUACGGUUCGAGCGCGUGGACGUCCCUGGAGCGGUGAUCAGCGGCGAACCCGUCCUGCUCUUAUGCGAGUACAAUCUGGAAGGCGCCGAGCUGUACUCAGUCAAGUGGUACAAGAACAACGUCGAGUUCUACAGGUACUUGCCCAGCGACGUGCCGCCAGGCCAGAAAUACGACCUCGUCGGGCUCUACGUAAACUUGUCCAAGUCCAACCACAACCGAGUGUACCUGGACCGUACUGACCUCAACAGCGAAGGAACCUACGGCUGCGAAGUGUCCACCGAGGGACCAGAAUUCCGCACAAUCAUCUUUGAGAAGGACCUCAACAUCUACGUGUUGCCAGAGCGUGGGCCCGUCAUCGAGGGCGUUCGUGGACGCUACCAACUUGGAGACAUCUUGAACGCCACCUGUCGGUCAAGGCCUUCAAAGCCUGCACCUUUCCUCAACUGGUUUGUCAACGGAAAGCCGGCGCCAUCCCAUCAGGUGACGCACAAGGGACCGUACCGGCGUGCCAACGCGUUGCAGGCAUCAGUGUCUACGCUGCGAUUCCAGAUCACAGCCCGCCAUCUGGCUCACGGCUUGCUCAGGCUGCGCUGUUCCUCUUCCAUCAACAAGAACCACUCUCGAAGCAGCCAGGAACUGCUCGUUGGCACACAGAGGCACCUGACUACCGAGAAAACUUACGAAGAGGAGAACGCGCCGACAGUGACCGGCGUGAAGCCGUACUACUCGGUGGGACACACGAUCGACCUGAACUGCAGCGCUGUCAUGACAACCGAUGAGAUUGAACUGGAGUGGUUCAUCAACGAUGAUGAGCACAUGCCCAGCAGCUACCAGACGCGCUACCCGGUGAGCAGGCACUCCGAGACCGGACUGCGCGAAACAGUGGUGCGACUCCGCUUCGUUCUUCAGCCACGUCACUAUCACAACGACGAACUGCGGCUGCGCUGCACGGCCACCUUCUCCAAGCUGCUCACGCUAUCCUCCGAAGAAACGGUGCUCGUAGCCUCCCAGCAGACACCAGGCUUUCACAUAGCGGAGAGCCACUCAGGCAGAACGGCACCUGGCUGCGGAACGCUCUUCUGGACGGCCCUGGAAGCAGUGUUCGUCUUUUUCCUUCUGCGCUAACGCGUACGAAGGCCGUGACGUCACAAUGACAAGCGCACACUUGGACAGGAGAGAAUCGAGCGGCGUUUGGCUUAAUGUGUAGCAUCGUUGUUGCUCAGGCUUGGCGACAAUCGCGGAUCCCAAAAUCAGCAUCGCCGGCGGCGGAAGACACGACAGGUGUGCGCGUUCAGUGGGUCGUGCUUCAAAACUACUGUGCUGGGAAGACCGCUAUGUGUGUGUCUACGCUACCAGUGGCGAUUCGUUUUUCUUCUUGUUGUUGUUGUUACUCUCCUAUGUUAACAGUGUUGGCAAGCAGUUGCUGUCAUCCUACUUCGACACGACGUGUUUGGUAGGCAUUUCUGUGAGAGCCGCGAUGUUGUCACUGCAUAGAUGUGCAUUCUAGAAUGUGUGCCAGAGAUGGGAAGUCCCGACAUCCAAUCAACGAGAGUGGAGGGGCUCGACAAGACGUGCUUCUGGUGUUUCGAGCGUAGUACCGGUCGCUAAGUCCAUUCAACCGAGGAACAGAAGGCAAAGGAAGUGUCGCAGCAAUACAAGGAAACGGCCCGCUAAUCCAGCAGCCUGAACAGACCAAGGGCAGCGAUGACACAAUAAAAGUGCCUCUACUAUGCA